ensembl:lncRNA
CGACCUUUCUAAAAUCUUCGGUGACUCCGCAGUGGCGUUGGGCUUUGUGUGUGUCCUUGUCCUUAAACGCACACACCCUUCUGCGUAUCAUAACCUAAUCGCCAACCCUUUAAAGUUUAAAAAAGAUGCAGUCGAUUGCUCCUUGCAAAGAGUUUAGUAACGUUCAGUCACUGACGUUUCAUAUUGUCAUCGUAAAAACAACUUGGACAUUUUAAACAACCAUUUCUUACACUGUUGCUCAAUCACACACACACACACACACACACACCGUGCAGCCACAAAGGAGUCCAGGCUGCGUUACUGGUGGGCUUUUAUUUACACGCAAUGUCCUGACUACAACAACCUCUGGUGUCUUUCUGGGUCCUUUCUCGCCGUCAGUCUGUCUCCUGCUUGUUUCUGCCAACGAUAGAUGUGUAAAGGCCAAAAACAUAAUCUUAAUAAAAGAUCCACCUGCAGCAAAACGGUUCCAGAUUAGAGGGUUCCGUGUGGGACUCGAGAGUCGGGAAAUGGUGGGCAGUAAACUGGAACCAUGGGAAUACCACCACCACCCAACUGCGUUCGCGAGCCGAUACGCUGAACACGCUCUGAGGGAAUCCGUGGCAGCACAAAACAAACGGUAUAAAAUAGUGAAAGUGAAGCCACUCCUGGUCCAAACUUCGUCAGCCAGCACCUUCCCCAGUCGGAUGGCUCCGGAAGACGAGAUGCACUAAUGGAAGUCCACGCACAGUUUAGCUCCGUAGCUAUGAAGCAGCUGAAAGGGUAGGGUCUGCUGCGAGCUUGCCUCACCCUACCCCCCCUCCCCCCACCCCACCUACCCCCACCCUCUGUCCACCGGCCAUCUCCUCCACCACGGCUUCGGAAGACCGCCAUGAGGUGCGUUGCGAACACGCCGAUUGAUGUCUGAUAGAUAUACCUCUGAGGCGUCGAGCGUAAAACCAGUGGAGCAAUGAAUGGCGGAAAGAACUGUGAGGCGGGAGACGAGAGGCCGGCCGCCCCUGUCCAGGUCCCCAUUGGCUGGCAGCGCAGGCCGGAGCGCGGCGGCGGCGGGCUCGUAUACGUAAGGUAAGAAAUGGACGAUGACAAAUCUGCCUCUUUAUUUUCUCCAGCCGUUGUUGAAAUAAGAAGUCAACAAUAACCAAAAUUGAGCACAUUGACACUUCUUUUUUUUACCAAUUGUUAAUAAUAAGCUUCAAGACUUUUGCCGUAAAAUGCCUGUGACGGUGAAACUCAUUUAAUUCAAUUGAAAUGUGCCUUGAAUUUUGCAUCAUCUUGAAUGACUUAAAAAUGCUCAUUUUGUCCCCCAAAAUCUUGUUCUUUACUCUGGUAAAGCUGCAGCGUGUCUGGCACCUAGUAGCUGUGAAAAUCUGUGAACCAUACGGUUCUUCCGGGAUUCUGCCGCUAACGUUCCAGCGAGCCGUCCCGCCACUCCAGUAAAUCGCAGCCCACAUGUUUUCCCGGCUGGCAAACGGCAAAUUGUAAGAAGCGUUGAUCGUCGCAAGCAAAUUUCACUCCGCCUCCUUGGAGAAAGCGGCGGGCGGCUUCUAAAGAUCCGGCGAGCUUCGCCUGGUAGUGGAUCCCCUCCCAGGGAUUGAGUUGUGCAGACUGGAAGUUGGUGUCCUUCCCAGCGUAACAACCCCAGCGCCACAAUGAACCAAAGCAGUUGGCUGGUGUCAGGUUUAUUUUGGGUGUUGGAAAGAAUCCUGUGUACUUCUGUGACCGUGGCCUGAUACUGUCACCGCGCACCAGCUCAUGUUCUUUUACAUUCAAAGUGUGCGUUUGCUUCACAUAUGUGCAGCCGUUGAUUUCUUGGUUGCAGUGAGUCUGUCGACGGUUUCCU